UACGAAGGGGGCUAGCGUUGCUCGGAAUCACUGGGCGUAAAGGGUGCGUAGGCGGGUUAUUAAGUCAGAGGUGAAAUCCUGGAGCUCAACUCCAGAACUGCCUUUGAUACUGAUAGUCUUGAGUAUGGGAGAGGUGAGUGGAACUGCGAGUGUAGAGGUGAAAUUCGUAGAUAUUCGCAAGAACACCAGUGGCGAAGGCGGCUUUCUG
rnacentral:rRNA from 1 species